rnacentral:rRNA from 1 species
UACGUAGGUGGCAAGCGUUGUCCGGAAUUAUUGGGCGUAAAGCGCGCGCAGGCGGUCCUUUAAGUCUGAUGUGAAAGCCCACGGCUCAACCGUGGAGGGUCAUUGGAAACUGGGGGACUUGAGUGCAGGAGAGAAGAGUGGAAUUCCACGUGUAGCGGUGAAAUGCGUAGAUAUGCGGAGGAACACCGAUGGCGAAGGCAGCUUCCUGGCCCGUAUCUGACGCUGAUGCGCGAAAGCGUGGGGAGCAAACGGG